rnacentral:rRNA from 1 species
AAUCAACGCUGGCGGCGUGCCUCAGACAUGCAAGUCGAACGAUUAAGACUCUCUUCGGAGAGUGUAUAAAGUGGCGCACGGGUGAGUAACACGUAGGUAAUGUACCGAAGGGUGGGGAAUAACUUAGGGAAACUUAAGCUAAUACCGCAUAAUGCAGCGGCUCGACAUCGAGACAGUUGUUAAAGGAGCAAUCCGCCUUUUGAGCAGCCUGCGGCAGAUUAGCUAGUUGGUAAGGUAAUGGCUUACCAAGGCUACGAUCUGUAACCGACCUGAGAGGGUGGUCGGUCACACUGACACUGAAUAACGGGUCAGACUCCUACGGGAGGCAGCAGUCGGGAAUUUUGGGCAAUGGGCGAAAGCCUGACCCAGCAACGCCGCGUGAAGGAUGAAGUAUUUCGGUAUGUAAACUUCGUAAGAAUAGGAAGAAAUAAAAUGACGGUACUAUUUGUAAGGUCCGGCUAACUACGUGCCAGCAGCCG